rnacentral:sRNA from 1 species
AGUAUUGGUAUUCAUUGUAACAUGGAUAAAUUAGCGCAAGGCUCAGCAAUGAGCCAUUCCCCUAGGCUCGAAACAGGACUGGUUUCGAGCUAUUUUUU